rnacentral:rRNA from 1 species
GACGAACGCUGGCGGCGUGCCUAAUACAUGCAAGUUGAGCGCUGAAGGUUGGUACUUGUACCAACUGGAUGAGCAGCGAACGGGUGAGUAACGCGUGGGGAAUCUGCCUUUGAGCGGGGGACAACAUUUGGAAACGAAUGCUAAUACCGCAUAAAAACUUUAAACACAAGUUUUAAGUUUGAAAGAUGCAAUUGCAUCACUCAAAGAUGAUCCCGCGUUGUAUUAGCUAGUUGGUGAGGUAAAGGCUCACCAAGGCGAUGAUACAUAGCCGACCUGGGAGGGUGAUCGGCCACAUUGGGACUGAGACACGGCCCAAACUCCUACGGGAGGCAGCAGUAGGGAAUCUUCGGCAAUGGACGAAAGUCUGACCGAGCAACGCCGCGUGAGUGAAGAAGGUUUUCGGAUCGUAAAACUCUGUUGGUAGAGAAGAACGUUGGUGAGAGUGGAAAGCUAAUCAAGUGACGGUAACUACCCAGAAAGGGACGGCUAACUACGUG